GCAGCACUAGUGCAACCAGCGCAGCUGUUUGGGACUCAGGCCAUAACUGAAGGGCAGAUGAUGCAAUUUGCGGGUGGACCUUCCUUGCUGCAUAUUUUAUUUUUUUUCUAUUAUUUCUAAUGAUUUUACACAUAAGCACAGGGAGGCACCCGGGAAAUGGAGGGUGUGUGACAGCGACCAGAGCCCCAGAAACCAGCCUCCUUCGAAGGCUGAAUACGGCUCUGCAAACCCUCAGCCGAGGCCCGUACCCAGCUGCCCUUCUCGGCCUCUCGGCGAGGAGGAACCGACGGUUGGAAUUGGCGGGAAGGAGGCUGCUCCGCGGCGGUGGUGGCUCAGCGUGCGGAUGCUGAAGGCAGAUUUCAGCUUCUACUCUUGGAAAAUUUGGUCCUUUAAUUCUACAUAUAUUUUGUUAAUGGUGUGAAAACAUACAGAAUUUAAAUAUGGAUAGAGACUUUAAGACAACAACACCUGCUUAUACUUUUCAAAGUUCUUCAGACAGAUUGCUUUCUAUUCAACUGUUAGAUUUUAAAACAAGUUUACUAGAGGCAGUAGAAGAACUGCGUGUAAGAAGGGUAUGUGUGCUAACAUUAUUUUGAACUCCCAAUUCUUUGUGUUAUUUCCAACUGUUCAUUAUUCAUUGUAAGAAUUCUUACUCAUCUAUAAAAGCAAAUAACCCACUUUCAUACAAAAGAACACUUAUCCACCAAGAUUUUGUAUCAUAAAUAUCAUGGAAGUUUGUAGUGUGUAUAUUUGGGGCAUAUAUUAGACUUGGACAAGUUAGUUCUUAUGGGUACAUUGGGACAAUGAAUACAACUGUCACAUAUUUAUCUAUCAAAAAAUACAAGUGUUUACCAAAUUAAUAAGGCAGAAAUUGUCUAUAGUCAACUUUUAUUUUCUAUUGUGUUUAUUUUAUUACCGAUAUAUCCUUCCAUAUCAAAAACCGUUUCAAGAGUGACUCGUGAUGUGGAAAGCAGGCAGACAUGUAGAUGUACACCCAUAAGUGAGUUUAUCUGAGUCUUUUUUUAACAGAUUGAUUUAUCAUUUACCAGGAGGGAUGUAGCUUUGACCUGCUUUUCAGUCAGUAUACCGGUGCUUUCACUAAAUUAAAAAAGAAAGCAAAUAGAUGGUUAGUAUCUUUGACAUACACAAAUACAUUUUUUUCAACCAUCUCAUUGGUUGUAAACAUAGUCAAUAAAGGACAAAGUCAAACUAUUACUUUAGAGACAUCGUGAGCACUGCCAUGCUAAGAUAUAAGUAUUUCUUGAUUUUAAAAUAAAGAAAUAGAUGGAGAUUCAUCUUUAAGUAUUGCAAUUAUGUCUUUAUAAUUAAAGGCUAAUAGUCACACCUAUUUUAUU